CCUACGGGGAGCUGCAGUGAGGAAUAUUGGUCAAUGGCCGGAAGGCUGAACCAGCCAUGCCGCGUGAAGGUCAGUGCCCUAUGGGCGUUAAACUUCUUUUGUGCGGGAGCAAUAAUGGUCACGUGUGGCCAGACGAGAGUACCGUACGAAUAAGCAUCGGCUAACUCCGUGCCAGCAGCCGCGGUAAUACGGGGGAUGCAAGCGUUAUCCGGAUUUUUUGGGUUUAAAGGGUGCGUAGGUGGUGAGUUAAUUCAGCGGUGAAAGGCCCCGGCUAAAGGGGGGAAGUGCCAAUGAUAAUUGCUGGCUGGAAUGCGGAUGCGGUAGGAGGAAUGUGUGGUGUAGCGGUGAAAUGCAUAGAGAUCACACAGAACACCGAUUGCGAAGGCAUCUCACGAGUCCGCGAUUGACGCUGAUGCACGAAAGCGUGGGUAUCAAACAGGAUUAGAUACCCUUGUAGUC
rnacentral:rRNA from 1 species